rnacentral:rRNA from 1 species
UACGUAGGGUGCGAAGCGUUAAUCGGAAUACUGGGCGUAAAGCGUGCGCAGGCGGUAAUGUAAGACAGAUGUGAAAUCCCCGGGCUUAACCUGGGACCUGCAUUUGUGACUGCAUUGCUGGAGUGCGGCAGAGGGGGAUGGAAUUCCGCGUGUAGCAGUGAAAUGCGUAGAUAUGCGGAGGAACACCGAUGGCGAAGGCAAUCCCCUGGGCCUGCACUGACGCUCAUGCACGAAAGCGUGGGAGCGAA